rnacentral:rRNA from 1 species
GACGAACGCUGGCGGCGUGCUUAACACAUGCAAGUUGAACGGAAAGGCCCUGCUUUUGUGGGGUGCUCGAGUGGCGAACGGGUGAGUAACACGUGAGUAACCUGCCCUUGACUUUGGGAUAACUUCAGGAAACUGGGGCUAAUACCGGAUAGGAGCUCCUGCUGCAUGGUGGGGGUUGGAAAGUUUCGGCGGUUGGGGAUGGACUCGCGGCUUAUCAGCUUGUUGGUGGGGUAGUGGCUUACCAAGGCCUUGACGGGUAGCCGGCCUGAGAGGGUGACCGGCCACAUUGGGACUGAGAUACGGCCCAGACUCCUACGGGAGGCAGCAGUGGGGAAUAUUGCACAAUGGGCGGAAGCCUGAUGCAGCAACGCCGCGUGCGGGAUGACGGCCUUCGGGUUGUAAACCGCUUUCGCCUGUGACGAAGCGUGAGUGACGGUAAUGGGUAAAGAAGCACCGGCUAACUACGUG